AGUGGGAUAGCUGGGUUAUAUGGCUGUUCCAUUCCUAGCUUUUUGAGGAAUAUCCACAGUGCUUUCCAGAGUGGUUGUACUAAUUUGCAGUCCCAUCAACAAU
rnacentral:pre_miRNA from 1 species